rnacentral:rRNA from 1 species
AGAAUCAACGCUGGCGGCGUGCCUAACACAUGCAAGUCGCACGAGAAAGGGUAGCAAUACCUGAGUAAAGUGGCGCACGGGUGAGUAACACGUGAAUGAUCUACCUCCGAGUGGGGAAUAACUGAGAGAAAUCUUAGCUAAUACCGCAUAACACUUACGAGUCAAAGCAGCAAUGCGCUUGGAGAGGAGUUCGCGGCCGAUUAGUUAGUUGGCGGGGUAAUGACCCACCAAGACGAUGAUCGGUA